UACAGAGGUCCCAAGCGUUGUUCGGAUUCACUGGGCGUAAAGGGUGCGCAGGUGGGUUGGCAAGUUCGAUGUGAAAGCCCCGGGCUUAACCCGGGAAUGGCAUUGGAUACUGUUGAUCUGGAGGGUCGGAGGGGGGACUGGAAUUCUUGGUGUAGCAGUGAAAUGCGUAGAUAUCAGGAGGAACGCCGGUGGCGAAGGCGGGUCUCUGGACAGUUCCUGACGCUGAGGCACGAAGGUCAGGGGAGCAAACGGG
rnacentral:rRNA from 1 species